rfam:Xenopus tropicalis strain Nigerian Chr10_contig_490, whole genome shotgun sequence.
GGGGGUAUAGCUCAGUGGUAGAGCAUUUGACUGCAGAACAAGAGGUCCUUGGUUCAGAUCCAGGUGCCCCCU